rnacentral:piRNA from 1 species
UUACAACCACCACAACCGAAAUCUAGGGC